rnacentral:snRNA from 1 species
ACUGCCUCAGUCUGACCCUAGCCUAAGAUCAAGUGUAGUAUCUGUUCUUAUCAGUUUAAUAUCAGAUACGCCCCCUAUCUGGGGGCCAUAUAUUAAAUGGAUUUUUAGAACAGGGAGAUGGAAGAAGAGCUUGCUCUGUCCACUGCACAGAGAAAAAAAAAUACCUAAA